GCAAACACAUAACCUCAUUGGGAACUAUAUAUGAUCUACUUCACAGACACACUGGGUACACACGUUGGCUUUUAGCAAAGACUAAAAAAAAGGCUGCACUUAUGCGAAUUAAUUCGAAUUUUUGUAGAGCUAAAUCAGCUAAAUGACAUAAUUAGUUCGAAUUAAUUCGCUUCGCACUGCUGCAGCCAGUCGAAUACGCUCUACUCUAAGACUGUAGUCUGUGGUUGUAUACUUAAUUUAUGGGCUUUUGUUGUUUUGUUUUUGUAUAUAGUAUAAAUUAUCGUUCUAAAGGAAAUGUAUUCCCUUGAACAAAAAAUUAAUAUCAUUAAAUGGUAUUUAGAAGCUGACAGCGCGGAUGAAGUGGUUGGGCGAUUUAUAUUUGCUUAUCCUGGUCAACAAGUUCCGUCUGUUCAAACAGUUUUGAAUAUUUUUCACCGAUUCGAAAAAUCCGGUUGCAUUAACAUAUGUAAAAAUUGCUAUCAAGACAAUAAAAAGACCCGUUCUAUACCUGACAAAAAUUACGAGAGGGAUAUAAGAGUAUGUGCCUUUGUUGAAGCAAAUGGGCCUAUGUCCAGCUCUGAAAUUUCUCAAGAAGUUGGCAUUCCUGCCCGUACAGUUAGGUAUAUUUUGAAGAAGCAUGGGUAUCAAUCCUAUAAAAUUAAGACUACUUAAGAAAUUUGAUAAGCUGUCCAUCCAUUUGAGUCCAAACAUUGUCGAAUUACUUUCACUUGAUGUUGGUCCAUUCAUUCCAUAGGCGAGAGGAGAAAACAAAUAAAAACUGUAUAGAAUAGAAGACAAAAUGACACCUAGGACUGUAUGAUAGACUGUAUUGGCUACUGUUGCAGGAAACAGUUUUGGAAUGUCUUCUAGAAAAUAAUCUAUGAUGAUGCCUGUAAGGUGAAGAUAACUUAUAUAAGUGGUGUAACAUAAAAUUUCACAUAGAAGCUUUACAUUUU